GUAAGGAUGCCUAUUAUGAGAUAGGCGCUCAAUAUGAGAUAGCAAGGUAUUAGUCAAACUAUUCACGUCAGUCAUUUGGGCGCUAGUGUCGCGCGAUCAGCACAGCAACACCGCUAAACGUCUGCCAGUGCGUGCCGGCCACCGGCGAUCCAAGUACGUGUGCGUGUAGUUAUUACAUUUUCAUAAAACAAAAAAUUUUUCGUCAAAUGUUUACAAGAUGCCUCCCAUCAAAAGGAAGACAUGGGACCAUAAUGCCAUGAUACAAGCUGUGAAUGCAGUUCGAAGAAAUGAAAUGGGUUACUUAAGAGCUGCAAAACAAUUUAGUGUUCCUAAGGGUACCCUUGAGCGCUAUGUAAAAAAAUAUGACCGUGCAGAAGAUCUUGUCCAGGUCGUAUGGGUAGAUGACCAGACUUACCUAUAGAUUUAGAAGCCGAGCUGGAAAGUUAUUGCAAAGAAAUGGAAAGCUCGAAUUGUUUGUUUGUGUUUGUUAGUUUUAAAGACUGAUACUUGACUAUUCAUGAUUAAAGUACCAAAAUAUUAAGACUGAUGUUUGUCUAUAAUAUUUAAUUAAUAAGUAACAAUAAAAAUGUGAUUAUUACAUUAAUAUUGUUUAUUUUGUUUGUUUACCCCCUACAAUUUUAAGGAACCUAAUAUAAGAUACUAUCUUAUAUUAGAAACCCCUAAUAUCUCAUAAUAGGAGACCAGUUGCCUUGGGUUGGUUUUCUGAUAUUUUUCACUUUUUACAGUAUAGUCAGAAAAAUAUUGUAUUUAGCCCUAAAUAGCUAUGACACAUUUAAAGUACAUUCAAUUUGCUACCUAAAAUUAUAUCUCUGAAUGCUUCAAAUGUAACAGUUUUGUUUUUAUAGUCAAAAAUA